UGUCUUUCCUACGCGAUGGACAUCCUCACACUGUGAACCAAAGCAGUCCCUCCAUUGAGUUGCUUUUCAGCAUUUUUGUUCGGGUUUUGCAAUUCUGAAAAUCCAUCCCAGCCAAACAUUGAGUCAUGCCCCCAGUCCUUCAGUGGCCUUAUGUCACGGCAGUGAAAAGUGUCUGUCUCCAGAUGGCUCGUUAGACCCAAGGAGCAAUUCUCUUUCACUUAUAAUAUCUGCAAGUAUUUGAAUUGAUACUGAUAUCUUCAGAUUUUGUUGAAAGCUGUUGUGCAGGUCCCAGCUAUUCCAUGUCUUCAUGGCAGAUGAGAAGUGCAUGGCUGUCUGUAAGCAGAGUGUAAAAGAUGGAACAGAUUGUUUUCUUAGGUGCACACAGGCUGACACUGAAGAUGCACACGUGCCAUUGAAAUAAACCAAGAGUAUUGUGUGGCUUCCAGAGCCCUGCCUGUACCUGCACCUUUUCCUCUUCCACUCAAGAACUCAUGUUAGCAGAUCACCGGUUUUAUUGACAACAGUCAUCAGCACCAGGGUUACAGACAACAUCAGCAAACUCUGGCUAGAAUUUGUUGGAUGAACAGUCAGAGCCUGAAAUUCAGGAGUUGGAGUGGCAAGCAGGUUGAUGCUACAGACUGGAUCUCCAGGGACAUCAGAAGCGCAGUGUUAUGGACCUUUCCUUUGUAGUGCUGAUGCCUUUAUUUGUUGUCUUUAGUGACCUGCCAUCGGUUUUCAGGAAGACUGGGCUGUGCCUACAGCACAAACACUGAUACCAUCACUUCUCUGUAUCGGGGCACUUCACAGGGCAAAGGGAAUGCUGGGAGAGCAAUACGUUUUUAAAGUUUUUUUUAAUUGAUAUACUUUAUUUGAAAUGUUAUAUAGUAUUGAAAACUAAUUGUAGAGACAACAGAUGUUAUUAAUUUAUAUAACUGUUUACCAUAAAAGAGAGACAUGAAAA
rnacentral:lncRNA from 1 species